GUGUCAGCAGCCGCGGUAAUACAGAGGGUGCGAGCGUUAAUCGGAAUUACUGGGCGUAAAGGGUGCGUAGGUGGUUAUGUAAGUUAGAUGUGAAAUACCCGGGCUUAACCUGGGGGCUGCGUCUGAUACUGCAUGGCUAGAGUCCUGUAGAGGAAAGUGGAAUUUCCGGUGUAGCAGUGAAAUGCGUAGAUAUCGGAAGGAACAUCAGUGGCGAAGGCGACUUUCUGGACAGAGACUGACACUGAGGCACGAAAGCGUGGGGAGCAAACAGGAUUAGAUACCCUGGUAGUCC
rnacentral:rRNA from 1 species